rnacentral:rRNA from 1 species
GACGAACGCUGGCGGCGUGCUUAACACAUGCAAGUCGAACGAUGAAGCCGGAGCUUGCUCUGGUGAAUUAGUGGCGAACGGGUGAGUAACACGUGAGUAACCUGCCCUUGACUCUGGGAUAACUGCUAGAAAUGGUAGCUAAUACCGGAUACGACCCUCGGAGGCAUCUUCAGGGGGUGGAAAGAAUUUCGGUCAAGGAUGGACUCGCGGCCUAUCAGCUAGUUGGUGAGGUAAUGGCUCACCAAGGCGACGACGGGUAGCCGGCCUGAGAGGGUGACCGGCAACACGGGGACGGAGACACGGCCCAGACUCCGACGGGAGGCAGCAGUGGGGAAUAUUGCACAAUGGGCGCAGGCCUGAUGCAGCAACGCCGCGUGAGGGAUGACGGCCUUCGGGUUGUAAACCUCUUUUAGUAGGGAAGAAGCGAAAGUGACGGUACCUGCAGAAAAAGCACCGGCUAACUACGUGCCAGCAGCCGCCGUAA